GGCGGGGCUCGGAGCCGGGCUUCGGCCGGGCCCCGGGCCCUCGACCGGG
rnacentral:pre_miRNA from 1 species